rnacentral:misc_RNA from 1 species
AGUUAAUGGGGCUAAAAGUGGGGAUUGAAAACAGAAUGCCUGUAAAUAUAUCCUAAUGUUGUAACAAAUGAAAGAGCACUGAAAAAGAAUAUAAAUGACUUUAAUCGAGAGUGUUUUUCGGUUCGAUUGAUGAGAAAAUUGGUGAAAAGUUGUUUUAAAGUUAUGGUGUCAGAAACUUGGGACAUCGAAAUUCAAUUGUCAUUAUUUUUUAUUAUAUAUAAAGAUUUUAAAUUCUGGACAGUUCUUAAAUUUUUUAUAUGACCAUAUCUUUCAAGUACUUAAACGCGUAUAAUAAAUACCUUUGAAAUGAAAAAUCUCUUAAAUUAUCCAUGCUUAUGCUAUUUAGAUCACGAAAUCAUUUGUGUAUGUGGGGUUUUCUAGCUUUUGUUUCGCUGAAAUUGUGAUUUAGCGUGACAAAGGAAGGGGUAAAAAACGGUAAAAUUAAAUUCAGCGUGACGUAUUUUAUGGACGCCCCUUAUUAAAUUUUUUAUAAAAUGUCUCAAAUUGUAUUUAAUGUAUUGAGUUAAAAAACUUCUUGUCAUGGUUUACUUAUACAAUUUUUGGGUACUUUAAAAAAGGUUUUUGUUAUUAUGAAUAACUUUAACCUGUUUAUGUAAUUAUUGUAUUAUUAUUUUUUCUGAAAUACCUAUAUUCUAAGAAGUAGUUCGAGUACCCAUAUGUUCUUGUCAAAUGCAUUUAGUAAUCUGUAUUUAUUCCAAUAUUUUUUUUUUAAUAAAAUAAUUUACAGGUUUUGAAUGUAGUGUUUGUAAUUUUAAUUAAACAAUUUAUAAAAUGGUGUAUGACAGUUGCAAAUUAUUUUUUGGCAAAUAAAAAAGAGCGCAAAAUAAAUUAUUAAUAAAUUAUUAAAAAGUGUUCUGUAUUUUUCGUAAAUCAUAUUUGUAUAAGUUUAUCGGAACCUUGUUAUUAGCAUUUGUAAUAAAAUUUACUAUAUUUUAAUCAA